rnacentral:rRNA from 1 species
GACGUAGGGCGCGAGCGUUGUCCGGAUUUAUUGGGCGUAAAGAGCUCGUAGGCGGCUUGUCGCGUCGACCGUGAAAAACCCGUGGCUCAACUACGGGGCUGGCGGUCGAUACGGGGCAGGCUGGAGUUCGGUAGGGGGAGACUGGAAUUCCUGGUGUAGCGGUGAAAAUGCGCAGAUAUCAGGAGGAACACCGGUGGCGAAAGGCGGGGUCUCUGGG